UACAGAGGGUGCGAGCGUUAAUCGGAAUUACUGGGCGUAAAGGGCGCGUAGGUGGUUGUUUAAGUCGGAUGUGAAAUCCCCGGGCUUAACCUGGGAAUGGCAUACGAUACUGGAUAACUAGAAUAGGGUAGAGGGAAGUGGAAUUUCCGGUGGAGCGGUGAAAUGCGUAGAGAUCGGAAAGAACACCAACGGCGAAAGCACUCUGCUGGGCCGACACUGACACUGAGAGACGAAAGCUAGGGGAGCGAAUGGG
rnacentral:rRNA from 1 species